rnacentral:rRNA from 1 species
AACGAACGCUGGCGGCAUGCCUAACACAUGCAAGUCGAACGAGAUCUUCGGGUCUAGUGGCGCACGGGUGCGUAACGCGUGGGAAUCUGCCCUUUGGUUCGGAAUAACAGUUGGAAACGACUGCUAAUACCGGAUGAUGACGAAAGUCCAAAGAUUUAUCGCCAGAGGAUGAGCCCGCGUAGGAUUAGCUAGUUGGUGUGGUAAAGGCGCACCAAGGCGACGAUCCAUAGCUGGUCUGAGAGGAUGAUCAGCCACACUGGGACUGAGACACGGCCCAGACGCGUACGGGAGGCAGCAGUGGGGAAGAGUGGGCAAUGGGCGAAAGCGUGAUCCAGCAAUGCCGCGUGAGUGAUGAAGGCCUUAGGGGUGUAAAGCUCUUUUACCCGGGAUGAUAAUGACAGUACCGGGAGAAUAAGCUCCGGCUAACUCCGUGCCAGCAGCCGCCGUAA